AGGACGCCGAAAUGAGUGUCCUGUCCAUUUGAGCGUGCUCUCGAAGUUUUAAAAGUCUGCAUUCAGCGUUCUUAUACUACCUUUCAUGUGACAAAAUAUAUCAGAAACGUGGCUUCAGUUAUGAAAAAGUGUUUUUUCCAAGUUCUGCGGCUCCUGGUUCUCUGCACUGCGGCGAUCUCCUUUCCAGCUCCACUCCAGCAACUCGACGACCGUUGGCCAAGUUCUUCUCGACAAUGUGUGCUUUUUGUUACAUUUGAUUUUUGUUACCAGUGGCUUGAUC